ensembl:processed_transcript
GUUAAACAGUGACCAAGGGGAGAUAGAGAGGUUAUCACCAUGCAAACUGUGCCAAGGUUCUGUAACAAUCAAGAACACGCGGACACCUACCUGUGGGAGGAGGCUUGGGGGAAACACUGUUUCUGGUUGCUGCUGAAGCCAGCAUUCUGGAGAUGGACAGCUGCUCAAGGAAAUGAAGGGAGAUUUUGUAAAUUGCAGAUUCUAAGCAGGAAGACUCAGCCAAGAAUACAUGCUUAGAAGAAAACUGUUUCAAACAUCCCCAUUUAUGUGGAUGUAUCUGCACAGUCCUCCCUUUCCACAAACACCAACACGGAAGCCCCAACGCUGGGAGGCUCUGAAUUAAGACCCUGGAGAAGAACUGCCAAAGGGAUUUACUUUUAAGGAAGCCCAUGAUCCUAUAAGAGUGAUCAUCAGUGUAAAUCAAAUCAAACGACUUAGAUGUUCUCUCCGGCUCUCAAUCUCCAACACCCAGAAGAGGUGUCAUAUGGCGGUUUUUUCCUCUGCACCACAUCUUCCAACUAUGAUGUCUAUCAUCAAAAAGUCCAGAGCAAUGAGACAGAUACCACCAUAACUCCCAGCAUAAAGAGAAAGCAUGACCCUAGACGUGGAGUGAAUUGAGUGUGCAGGUUCCUAC